rnacentral:rRNA from 1 species
UACGUAGGGUGCGAGCGUUGUCCGGAAUUAUUGGGCGUAAAGAGCUUGUAGGCGGUCUGUCACGUCUGCUGUGAAAACUCAGGGCUUAACCCUGAGCCUGCAGUGGGUACGGGCAAACUAGAGUGUGGUAGGGGAGACUGGAAUUCCUGGUGUAGCGGUGGAAUGCGCAGAUAUCAGGAGGAACACCGAUGGCGAAGGCAGGUCUCUGGGCCAUAACUGACGCUGAGAAGCGAAAGCGUGGGGAGCGAACAGG